UUAUCCUACGGGACGCAGCAGUGGGGAAUAUUGGGCAAUGGGCGCAAGCCUGACCCAGCGACGCCGCGUGAGGGAAGACGGUCUUCGGAUUGUAAACCUCUUUCAGCAGGGAAGACAAAAGGACGGUACCUGCAGAAGAAGCAACGGCUAACUACGUGCCAGCAGCCGCGGUAAUACGUAGGUGGCAAGCGUUAUCCGGAAUUACUGGGUGUAAAGGGUGUGUAGGCGGUGCUGCAAGUCAGAUGUGAAAAUUAUGGGAUCAACCCAUAACCUAGG
rnacentral:rRNA from 1 species